UACAGAGGGGGCAAGCGUUGUUCGGAAUUACUGGGCGUAAAGGGCGCGUAGGCGGCCUUCUAAGUCGAACGUGAAAUCCCCGGGCUCAACCCGGGAACUGCGUCCGAUACUGGAAGGCUUGAAUCCGGGAGAGGGAUGCGGAAUUCCAGGUGUAGCGGUGAAAUGCGUAGAUAUCUGGAGGAACACCGGUGGCGAAGGCGGCAUCCUGGACUGUCUCUGACACUGAAGAACGAAAGCCAGGGGAGCAAACGGG
rnacentral:rRNA from 1 species